rnacentral:rRNA from 1 species
GACGAACGCUGGCGGCGUGCCUAACACAUGCAAGUCGAGCGAGUGAAUCUCCUUCGGGGGUGAAGCUAGCGGCGGACGGGUGAGUAACACGUGGGCAACCUGCCUCAUAGAGGGGAAUAGCCUUUCGAAAGGAAGAUUAAUACCGCAUAAGAUUGUAGCUUCGCAUGAAGUAGCAAUUAAAGGAGCAAUCCGCUAUGAGAUGGGCCCGCGGCGCAUUAGCUAGUUGGUGAGGUAAAGGCCCACCAAGGCGAUGAUGGGUAGCUGGUCUGAGAGGAUGACCAGCCACACUGGGACUGGAACACGGCCCAGACUCCUACGGGAGGCAGCAGUGAGGAAUAUUGCACAAUGGGCGAAAGCCUGAUGCAGCAACGCCGCGUGAGUGACGAAGGCCUUCGGUGUAAGACUCUGUCGGGUGGGAGGAGUGUGGUCGGCGUAACGACCGGAUGUGACGGUACCGAUCAAGAAGACACCGACGUACUACCGUCG